rnacentral:rRNA from 1 species
AGUGAUGGGCUCCGAAGCUAACGCGAUAAAUCGACCGCUGGGGAGUACGGCCGCAAGGUUAAAACUCAAAUGAAUUGACGGGGGCCCGCACAAGCGGUGGAGCAUGUGGUUUAAUUCGAUGCAACGCGAAGAACCUUACCUGGUCUUGACAUCCAUAGAAUUCUGCAGAGAUGUGGGAGUGCCUUCGGGAACUAUGAGACAGGUGCUGCAUGGCUGUCGUCAGCUCGUGUUGUGAAAUGUUGGGUUAAGUCCCGCAACGAGCGCAACCCUUAUUCUUUGUUGCCAGCGAUUUGGUCGGGAACUCAAAGGAGACUGCCGUUGAUAAAGCGGAGGAAGGUGGGGACGACGUCAAGUCAUCAUGGCCCUUACGACCAGGGCUACACACGUGCUACAAUGGCGUAUACAAAGGGAAGCGAAGGUGCGAGCUGGAGCGGAUCUCAUAAAGUACGUCUAAGUUCGGAUUGGAGUCUGCAACUCGACUCCAUGAAGUCGGAAUCGCUAGUAAUCGUAGAUCAGAAUGCUACGGUGAAUACGUUCCCGGGCCUUGUACACACCGCCCGUCACACCAUGGGAGUGGGUUGCACCAGAAGUAGAUAGCUUAACCGCGAGGGGGGCGUUUACCACGGUGUGAUUCAUGACUGGGGUGAAGUCGUAACAAGGUAACCA